ACUAGCAACCGUGCGUGUGCGUGCGUGUGCGUGUGUGUGUGUGUGUGUGUGACUAACGCAAGGCAGUCUCCAUAAAGGUAGUAUUGUUAAGUUGCGUGCGAAGCUCAUGCUCUGGGCUUCGGGUCCCCGCCCACCCCUGUAAACCAGGGCCACCCCCCCACCCUCCUGCACCUUCCCCUUUCUUUUUGCUACAGGUAAACAUUUGAUGUCCGCACGCAAUCCCCGGUGAGACUCCGCCCUUUGUUCUCGCGGCUGGCUUCUUUUCAGUGUUACUCACACACUCGGCUUCACUCCCCAUUCUUUCUGGCAUUCCUGUCCUCACUGACUCAGCACCUGUUUCCCUGAAGAGGUUUUGUGGCAAAAAUGGUCUAUGCCGCAAAGGGCCGGGACGUGUGUUCAUAUUUCAAUGAAAGCGACGUUAAUGCAACAUGAAAUUCGCUCUGUUCCACCGUGCUCGGAUGAAACCCUCGAGACAAAGGGGCUGUUUGAUUGCGAAUACGAACACAAGGCGAGAGAAAUGACCGACGGUAGCCAUUAUUUCAUCUUCAAUAUUUCCCAUGAUGCAAUUUCUGUGAUUGUGUUUUGUUGUAUCCAUCCAUCCAUUUUCUUUAGCGCUUCUCCUCAGGCGGGUCGCGGGGCUGCUGGAGCCUAUCCCAGCUGUCUUCGGGCGAGAGGCGGGGCACACCCGGAACCGGUCGCCAGCCAAUCGCAGGGCACAUAGUCACAAACUACCAUUCGCACUCACAUUCACACCUACGGGCAAUUUGGAGUCUUCAAUCAACCUACCACGCGUGUUUUUGGGAUAUGGGAGGAAACCGGCGUACCUGGAGAAAACCCACCCACGCACGGGGAGAACAUGAAAACUCCACACAGGCGGGGCCGGGAUUUGAACCCCGGUCCCCAGAACUGCGAGGCAGAUUUUUGCUGGUUGUCACUGGAGCCCAAGGAUGUCCUGGAUAUGAGGUGCGACAGCUGGGUCGCAGCGAUGAACGAGCUUAUUGUCUCUGCUUGCGCCGCAAGGUGUGCCUGGAGGCAUGCCAGCGACCUGGCACCGCUACCAGGAAGCAUGCCCGCCCGCCCUCCAAUACCAACUGUAUUUUAAGGAGCUGCCCAUCAGGGCCGUAAUCAGGAUUUUAGAAAUUCCGAGGUCAUAACUGUGGAGGUCCGAACAAAAAGUUUCAAUAGGCGGAUCCAUCAGGAAACCUGUAUUUUGAAUGGACAUUGUGUGUGUGUUUGUGUAUGGAGUACCGAGAGUGCCAAAAUUAAAUAAAUACAUACAUCAUUAAA